rnacentral:rRNA from 1 species
UACAGAGGUCUCAAGCGUUGUUCGGAUUCAUUGGGCGUAAAGGGUGCGUAGGCGGCGCGGUAAGUCGGGUGUGAAAUCUUGGAGCUUAACUCCGAAACUGCAUUCGAUACUGCCGUGCUUGAGGACUGGAGAGGAGACUGGAAUUUACGGUGUAGCGGUGAAAUGCGUAGAUAUCGUAAGGAAGACCAGUGGCGAAGGCGGGGUCUCUGGACAGUUCCUGACGCUGAGCACGAAGGCCAGGGGAGCAAACGGG